AUUGAACGCUGGCGGCAUGCCUUACACAUGCAAGUCGAACGGUAACAGGCUAAGCUGACGAGUGGCGAACGGGUGAGUGAUAUAUCGGAACGUGCCCAGUCGUGGGGGAUAACGCAGCGAAAGCUGUGCUAAUACCGCAUACGAUCUACGGAUGAAAGCGGGGGAUCGCAAGACCUCGCGCGAUUGGAGCGGCCGAUAUCAGAUUAGCUAGUUGGUGGGGUAAAAGCCCACCAAGGCGACGAUCUGUAGCUGGUCUGAGAGGACGACCAGCCACACUGGAACUGAGACGCGGUCCAGACUCCUACGGGAGGCAGCAGUGGGGAAUUUUGGACAAUGGGCGAAAGCCUGAUCCAGCAAUGCCGCGUGCAGGACGAAGGCCUUCGGGUUGUAAACUGCUUUUGUACGGAGCGAAACGGUCCCUUCUAAUAAAGGGGGCUAAUGACGGUACCGUAAGAAUAAGCACCGGCUAACUACGUGCCAGCCGCCGCCGUAA
rnacentral:rRNA from 1 species